AUUGAACGCUGGCGGCAUGCCUUACACAUGCAAGUCGAACGGUAGAGGGGGCAACCCCUCGAGAGUGGCGAACGGGUGAGUAAAGCAUCGGAACGUGCCCAGUAGUGGGGGAUAGCCCGGCGAAAGCCGGAUUAAUACCGCAUGAGACCUACGGGUGAAAGGGGGGGAUCGCAAGACCUCUCGCUAUUGGAGCGGCCGAUGUCAGAUUAGGUAGUUGGUGGGGUAAAGGCCUACCAAGCCGACGAUCUGUAGCUGGUCUGAGAGGACGACCAGCCACCCUGGGACUGAGACACGGCCCAGACUCCUACGGGAGGCAGCAGUGGGGAAUUUUGGACAGUGGGCGAAAGCCUGAUCCAGCCAUGCCGCGUGCGGGAAGAAGGCCUUCGGGUUGUAAACCGCUUUUGUCAGGGAAGUAAUCCUUUGAGUUAAUACCUCGGGGGGAUGACGGUACCUGAAGAAUAAGCACCGGCUAACUACGUGCCAGCCGCCGCCGUAAAAC
rnacentral:rRNA from 1 species